rnacentral:rRNA from 1 species
GAACGCUGGCGGCAGGCCUAACACAUGCAAGUCGAACGGUAACAGAAAGCAGCUUGCUGCUUGCUGACGAGUGGCGGACGGGUGAGUAAUGUCUGGGAAACUGCCUGAUGGAGGGGGAUAACUACUGGAAACGGUAGCUAAUACCGCAUAACGUCGCAAGACCAAAGAGGGGGACCUUCGGGCCUCUUGCCAUCGGAUGUGCCCAGAUGGGAUUAGCUUGUUGGUGGGGUAACGGCUCACCAAGGCGACGAUCUCUAGCUGGUCUGAGAGGAUGACCAGCCACACUGGAACUGAGACACGGUCCAGACUCCUACGGGAGGCAGCAGUGGGGAAUAUUGCACAAUGGGCGCAAGCCUGAUGCAGCCAUGCCGCGUGUAUGAAGAAGGCCUUCGGGUUGUAAAGUACUUUCAGCGGGGAGGAAGGGAGUAAAGUUAAUACCUUUGCUCAUUGACGUUACCCGCAGAAGAAGCACCGGCUAACUCCGUGCCAGCCGCAGC